AUGGACUCGCGGCCUAUCAGCUUGUUGGUGGGGUAACAGCCUACCAAGGCGAUUACGGGUAGCCGGCCUGAGAGGGCGACCGGCCACACUGGGACUGAGACACGGCCCAGACUCCUACGGGAGGCAGCAGUGGGGAAUAUUGCGCAAUGGGCGAAAGCCUGACGCAGCGACGCCGCGUGGGGGAUGACGGCCUUCGGGUUGUAAACCUCUUUUACCACCAACGCAGGCCCGGGGUUCUCUCCGGGUUGACGGUAGGUGGGGAAUAAGGACCGGCUAACUACGUGCCAGCAGCCGCGGUAAUACGUAGGGUCCGAGCGUUGUCCGGAAUUAUUGGGCGUAAAGAGCUCGUGGGCGGCGUGUCGCGUCUGCUGUGAAAGACCGGGGCUUAACCCCGGUUCUGCAGUGGAUACCGGCAUGCUAGAGGUAGGUAGGGGAGACUGGAAUUCCUGGUGUAGCGGUGAAAUGCGCAGAUAUCAGGAGGAACACCGGGUGGCGAAGGCGGGGUCUCUGGGCCUUUACCUGACGCUGAGGAGCGAAAAGCAUGGGGAGCGAAACAGGAUUAGAUACCCUGGUAGUCCAUGCCGUAAACGUUGGGCGCUAGGUGUGGGGGACUUUCCACGGUUUCCGCGCCGUAGCUAACGCAUUAAGCGCCCCGCCUGGGGAGUACGGGCCGCAAGGGCUAAAACUCAAAGGAAUUGACCGGGGGCCCCNCNCAAAGCGGCGGAGCAUGUUUGCUUAAUUUGACGCAACGCGAAGAACCUUACCAAGGUUUGACAUCACCCCGUGGACCUGGCAGAGAUGUGGGGUCGAUUUAGU
rnacentral:rRNA from 1 species